rnacentral:rRNA from 1 species
CGUGUAGACGGAUGGGGACGUCGGUUGUUGAAAGCCCCCGGCUCAACCGGGGAACUGGCGCCGAAACGCCCUGUCUUGAGGAGCGUAGGGGGACCUGGAACUUCCGGUGGAGCGGUGAAAUGCGUUGAGAUCGGAAGGAACGCCCGUGGCGAAAGCGAGGUCCUGGACGUUAUCUGACGCUGAGACGCGAAAGCUAGGGGAGCGAACG